rnacentral:rRNA from 1 species
GAGUUUGAUCCUGGCUCAGAGCGAACGCUGGCGGCGUGCUUAACACAUGCAAGUCGAGGGAGAACGGAGGGCUUCGGCUCUCUUAGUAAACCGGCGCACGGGUGAGUAACACGUAGGUAACCUACCUCCGAGUUCGGGAUAACCUGUCGAAAGAUAGGCUAAUACCGGAUAAGACCACGAUGGUUUCGGCCACUGCGGUCAAAGAUGGCCUCUAUUUAUACGCUAUCGCUUGGGGAUGGGCCUGCGCACCAUUAGCUAGUUGGUGAGGUAAUGGCUCACCAAGGCUACGAUGGUUAGUUGGUCUGAGAGGAUGACCAGCCACACUGGGACUGAGACACGGCCCAGACUCCUACGGGAGGCAGCAGUGGGGAAUAUUGCGCAAUGGGGGAAACCCUGACGCAGCGACGCCGCGUGGGUGAUGAAGGCCUUC